rnacentral:lncRNA from 1 species
UAAUUAGUUAGAUCCAAUUUUAGUUUCAAAAUUAGGUUAUAUUUAAAUCGAGAUUUAAUUAAGAAUGAUUGAUAUUCGGUUUUGAGUGAAAUUCAAUUUAGGAAUCAUGUGAAAGAAACAAGGACUUGGUUUAUUUGGUGGACAAAGAUUAUGUUUAUGUGGUGAAUAAUAUGAGAAGAAAGAAAAAUAAAAAGGGAGGAAGAAAAGGAAAAUAAAAAAAUAAAAAGUAUAAGGACUGGUUUUAAUAAAUGGAAAACACAGAAAAACUACGUUUAAAAAAAUAGAGAUAGGAGGAAAAGAUAGAGGGAAGG